AACGAACGCUGGCGGCAUGCCUAACACAUGCAAGUCGAACGAGACCUUCGGGUCUAGUGGCGCACGGGUGCGUAACGCGUGGGAAUCUGCCCUUGGGUUCGGAAUAACAGUUGGAAACGACUGCUAAUACCGGAUGAUGACGUAAGUCCAAAGAUUUAUCGCCCAAGGAUGAGCCCGCGUAGGAUUAGCUAGUUGGUGAGGUAAAGGCUCACCAAGGCGACGAUCCUUAGCUGGUCUGAGAGGAUGAUCAGCCACACUGGGACUGAGACACGGCCCAGACUCCUACGGGAGGAAGCAGUGGGGAAUAUUGGACAAUGGGCGGAAGACUGAUCCAGCAAUGCCGCGUGAGUGAUGAAGGCCUUAGGGUUGUAAAGCUCUUUUACCCGGGAUGAUAAUGACAGUACCGGGAGAAUAAGCUCCGGCUAACUCCGUG
rnacentral:rRNA from 1 species